GCCCCAAUAGUUUAUCUCAAAACUUUGCCUUUGUAAGCCAAAAUAGGACUCUCCUUGGGGCU
rnacentral:tRNA from 1 species